rnacentral:rRNA from 1 species
AAACCAACAGGGAUUGCCUUAGUAGCGGCGAGUGAAGCGGCAAAAGCUCAAAUUUGAAAUCUGGUACUUUCAGUAUCCGAGUUGUAAUUUGUAGAAGCAACUUUGGUGAUGGUCUUUGCAUAAGUUCCUUGGAAUAGGACGUCAUAGAGGGUGAGAAUCCCGUUUAUGGUGAAGAACCCACACUAUGUAAAGUGCUUUCGAAGAGUCGAGUUGUUUGGGAAUGCAGCUCAAAGUGGGUGGUAAAUUCCAUCUAAAGCUAAAUAUUGGCGAGAGACCGAUAGCGAACAAGUACUGUGAAGGAAAGAUGAAAAGAACUUUGAAAAGAGAGUGAAAAAGUACGUGAAAUUGUUGAAAGGGAAGGGAUCUAAAUCAGACAUGGUAUUUGUGAUCAACAGUCUUUCGGGACUGUGCACUCGCAUUUUACUAGGCCAGCAUCGGUUAGAGGGGUAAAAAGAUUUUGGAAUGUGGCUCUUCGGAGUGUUAUAGCCAAGGUUAAUUGCCCCAUUUCUGACCGAGGACCGUCG